CAGAGGAGCCAAGCGUUGUCCGGAUUGACUGGGCGUAAAGCGCACGCAGGCGGUCGCGCGCGUGGGGUGUGAAAUCUGGCCGCUUAACGGCCAGGCGCCAUCCCAUACGGCGCGACUGGAGUGAUGCAGAGGUCGAUGGAAUUGCCGGUGUAGUGGUGAAAUGCGUAGAGAUCGGCAGGAACACCCAGGGGGAAACCAGUCGACUGGGCAUCUACUGACGCUGAGGUGCGAGAGCGUGGGGAGCGAACCGGAUUAGAUACCCGGGUAGUCCACGCCGUAAACGAUGGCCACUCGGCCUUUGGAGGCGGAAUCUCCGUCUUUGGGGGCCUUAGCUAACGCGGGAAGUGGCCCGCUGGGAACUACGAGCGCAAGCUUA
rnacentral:rRNA from 1 species